CCUGGUGUCUAUUGCGUAGUGGAACCACACUGACCCCUUCCCGAACUCAGUGGUGAAACGCUACUGCGGCAACGAUAGUUUUUGGGUAGCCAAACGCAAAAAUAGCUCGAUGCCAGGU
rfam:Cylindrospermum stagnale PCC 7417, complete genome.